CGUGGAGGGUCAUUGGAAACUGGGGGACUUGAGUGCAGAAGAGGAAAGACGAAUUCCACGUGUAGAGGUAAAAUGCGUAGAGAUGUGGAAACACCAGUGGCGAAGGCGGCUUUCUGGUCUGUAACUGACGCGAGGCGCGAAAGCGUGGGGCAAACAGGAUUAGAUACCCUGGUAGUCCACGCCGUAAACGAUGUGCUAAGUGUUAGAGGUUUCCNCCCUUUAGUGCUGCCAUUAACGCAUUACACUCCGCCUGGGGAGUACGGCCGCAAGGCUGAAACUCAAAGGAAUUGACGGGGGCCGCACAAGCGGUGGAGCAUGUGGUUUAAUUCGAGCAACGCGAAGAACCUUACCAGGUCUUAACAUCCUCUNCACUCCUAGAGAUAGGACUUUCUUCGGGGGACAGAGUGA
rnacentral:rRNA from 1 species